UCCCUCCACCACCGCCUCUGCUGCUUGCAAGAGCAGGCAUAGGAGCCCGGUUGGGGGAGGCACAGUGCAGCGCAGUGCCUCUCCCAGCCGCAGCUCCUGUGCCUGCCCUUGUGAGAGGCGGGCAGCGGUGGAGGGA